GUCUUCUCAUGUGCCCACAGAUGUCUUUCUGCAGAGACUAUCUGCUUUGUGUUACUCGGGGCUCCAGGGUGCUUUAUUAGGUCAUAUUACAUGUCCGAACGCCAGAGCAAUGACACAAAGCUUGCAAUACUUCAGCUUGCAAGUACUACGUGUGCCUUCCCUCUACAGUACCUGCCAUGUGGACUAGCUGAAUGGUCUGCUUGCCUGACAGAUGACGAGGCACGAGAACAAGAGAGACGAGAAGGCUUGGGGAGGUUUCACCGUGGACAAAGAGCUCCGCUUCAGGAAGUCGGCUCUAUGAUUGACUUGAAAGAAGAGCCCCUGUUUAAAAUUUUCCUUUGAGAACUCAUAUCUUCACACCAUUCCUCUUUCUUUCUGUUGUAGCUGAUGUGGUAAGAGACCAAAUUUAUUUAUAACAAAGUCGAUUUUCUAUUUUCUUUUCUUUUCUCACUGAAUUCUUUUACACCUGAAUCUAAGACAAAACACGGCAAAAGUCAAUCUUAUCAAAUACUCAUCCCAAGCUCCUAACUUCUGUUGAGAGAACAUGUUAUUCAUGAAAUCUUUUUUUUUUUUCUAUUUUCUUUUUUAAAAUUUUAAAAUUCAAUGACAAUCCUUUGUGUUGGUUAAGUUGGGC
rnacentral:lncRNA from 1 species